rnacentral:lncRNA from 1 species
CGGGGGCUGACGUCACCGCCGGGAGGAGGGGCGGCCCGUGCCGAGGCGACUGGAGAGCGGGAUGCUCGGGCCUCGCUGGCGCAGGCGCUCCCUCGCCGCCGGGCCGGCGCAGCGCGGCGGCGACCGGAUUCAGCCCGCGUGAGCUGAGCGCGGCAAUUCUUAAUUUAGCGGAGGGCGGAAGGUAUCUUUAGACCUUAGCGCGUCCAUCUCUGGGUUCAUUCGUCAGAACCGCCCGCACGCCGUCCGCGCUUUCCUCUGAUGAACCAGACAAAGGCAAGAAAGGGGGAAACAGGCUUGAACAACUACGCACUUGCAGAGGACAAAACUGCAGCUGACUUUCUUUUAUCGGAGCCUGGAAAUUACAGCCUUAUGUGUAUAACCGAACUUUGCUGAAGCACUGAACACUGAUUAAUGCAAUUAAAUGAAUACAGGACAUCAUUAAGACCGACUUUGUGGCAAAACCAUUAAUGAGGCUAAUUUGUCUAUAAACAGAUUAUUAGGUAAGACUUUUAAUUGUGUAUGUCAUUAAGUGCUUCUUAGAACCAGCAUCCUAUUUGUUGGAAAGAGGUGAUAAUUCUU